rnacentral:rRNA from 1 species
UCCGGAUUUAUUGGGCGUAAAGGGAGCGCAGGCGGUUUAGUAAGUCUGAAGUUAAAGNCAUUGGCUCAACCAAUGUAUGCUUUGGAAACUGUUAGACUUGAGUGCAGAAGGGGAGAGUGGAAUUCCAUGUGUGGCGGUGAAAUGCGUAGAUAUAUGGAGGAACACCGGUGGCGAAAGCGGCUCUCUGGUCUGUCACUGACGCUGAGGCUCGAAAGCGUGGGUAGCGAACAGGAUUAGAUACCCUGGUAGUNCACGCCGUAAACGCUGAGUGCUAGGUGUUAGGUCCUUUCCGGGACUUAGUGCCGACGCUAACGCAUUAAGCACUCCGCCUGGGGAGUACGACCGCAAGGUUGAAACUCAAAGGAAUUGACGGGGGCCCGCACAAGCGGUGGAGCAUGUGGUUUAAUUCGAAGCAACGCGAAGAACCUUACCAGGUCUUGACAUCCCGAUGCCCGCUCUAGAGAUAGAGUUUUUCUUCGGAACAUCGGAGACAGGUGGUGCAUGGUUGUCGUCAGCUCGUGUCGUGAGAUGUUGGGUUAAGUCCCGCAACGAGCGCAACCCUUAUUGUUAGUUGCCAUCAUUAAGUUGGGCACUCUAGCGAGACUGCCGGUAAUAAACCGGAGGAAGGUGGGGAUGACGUCAAAUCAUCAUGCCCCUUAUGACCUGGGCUACACACGUGCUACAAUGGUUGGUACAACGAGUCGCAAGCCGGUGACGGCAAGCUAAUCUCUGAAAGCCAAUCUCAGUUCGGAUUGUAGGCUGCAACUCGCCUACAUGAAGUCGGAAUCGCUAGUAAUCGCGGAUCAGCACGCCGCGGUGAAUACGUUCCCGGGCCUUGUACACACCGCCCGUCACACCACGAGAGUUUGUAACACCC